UACAGAGGUCUCAAGCGUUGUUCGGAUUCAUUGGGCGUAAAGGGUGCGUAGGCGGCGCGGUAAGUCGGGUGUGAAAUCUCGGAGCUUAACUCCGAAACUGCAUUCGAUACUGCCGUGCUUGAGGACUGGAGAGGAGACUGGAAUUUACGGUGUAGCGGUGAAAUGCGUAGAUAUCGUAAGGAAGACCAGUGGCGAAGGCGGGUCUCUGGACAGUUCCUGACGCUGAGGCACGAAGGUCAGGGGAGCAAAAGGG
rnacentral:rRNA from 1 species